rnacentral:rRNA from 1 species
GUUAGGAAUCUUCCACAAUGGGGGCAACCCUGAUGGAGCAACACCGCGUGCUGGAUGAAGGCCUUCGGGUCGUAAACAGCUUUUGUAUACGAAGAAUAUGACGGUAAUAUACGAAUAAGGGUCGGCUAACUACGUGCCAGCAGCCGCGGUCAUACGUAGGACCCAAGCGUUAUCCGGAGUGACUGGGCGUAAAGAGUUGCGUAGGCGGCUUAUUAAGCGAGUAGUGAAAUCUGGUGGCUCAACCAUCAACACAUUGCUCGAACUGAUAGGCUUGAGAAUGGUAGAGGUAGUUGGAAUUUCUUGUGUAGGAGUGAAAUCCGUAGAUAUAAGAAGGAACACCAAUGGCGUAGGCAGGUUACUGGGCCAUUUCUGACGCUAAGGCACGAAAGCGUGGGGAGCGAACCGGAUUAGAAACCCCUGUAGUCC